UACGGAGGGGGCUAGCGUUGUUCGGAAUUACUGGGCGUAAAGCGCACGUAGGCGGCUUUGUAAGUUAGAGGUGAAAGCCCGGAGCUCAACUCCGGAAUUGCCUUUAAGACUGCAUCGCUAGAAUUGUGGAGAGGUGAGUGGAAUUCCGAGUGUAGAGGUGAAAUUCGUAGAUAUUCGGAAGAACACCAGUGGCGAAGGCGACUCACUGGACACAUAUUGACGCUGAGGUGCGCAAGCGUGGGGAGCAAACAGG
rnacentral:rRNA from 1 species